CUUUUUUUUUUUUUUUAACUUUGAGUAUGACUUCAGCCUGUAACCACUGACUGUAGAGUGUUUGUAGUAUGUUCUUUACUGUUAGACUAGUAGUCUGUAGUGUUCAAGUAUUGUCCACAGUUCACACACAGUUUGCCAAAUGCACGACUCUAUAGUAUUUAAGUAUUUUCUGUUGUUUUUUUUAUAGAAAAUUACUAUAUCCAGUUGUUGUUUUUUAAUUUAUAUUUGUUUGUUUUUUAACUUUUACUUUCUAUUUUGGUUGUAAUAAGUCUUUGUUUUCAUACACUGGUCAGUAUUAUUAUAUUUUAAAAUUUUAAUUCUUUUUAUUUCACUCAUUUAAAAGGUACAUUUUACAAGGUACAUUAUUAUAUAACGUGUUCUACUAAAUUUGACUAAAAUAAAGUACGACUCAAACUUUG